rnacentral:misc_RNA from 1 species
UUCGAUCAUGGCUCAGAUUGAACGCUGGCGGGAUGCUUUACACAUGCAAGUCGAACGGCAGCGGACUUCCGGUCUGGUGGCGAGUGGCGAACGGGUGAGUAAUGUAUCGGAACGUGCCUAGUAGCGGGGGAUAACUACGCGAAAGCGUAGCUAAUACCAUACGCCCUUCGAGGAAAGCGGGGGACCUUCGGGCCUCGCACUAUUAGAGCGAGCCGAUCAGGUUAGCUAGUUGGUGGGGUAACGGCUCACCAAGGCGACGAUCCAUGGCGAGGUUUGAGAGGACGACCAGCCACACUGGGACUGAGACACGGCCCAGACUCUACGGGAGGCAGCAGUGGGGAAUUUUGGACAAUGGGGGAAACCCUGAUCCAGCCAUCCCGCGUGUGCGAUGAAGGCCUUCGGGUUGUAAAGCACUUUUUUGGCGGGAAAGAAACGGCGCAGGAUAAUACCCGAUGCAACUGACGAUACCUGCAGAAUAAGCACCGGCUAACUACGUGCCAGCAGCCGCGGUAAUACGUAAAAGUGCAAGCGUUAAUCGGAAUUACUGGGCGUAAAGCGUGCGCAGGCGGUUCGGAAAGAAAGAUGUGAAAUCCCAGAGCUUAACUUUGGAACUGCAUUUUUAACUACCGAGCUAGAGUGUGUCAGAGGGAGAGGUGGAAUUCCGCGUGUAGCAGUGAAAUGCGUAGAUAUGCGGAGGAACACCGAUGGCGAAAGGCAACCUCCUGGGAUAACACUGACGCUCAUGCACGAAAAGCGUGGGGGAGCAAACGGGAUUAGAUACCUGGUAGUCCACGCCCUAAACGAUGUCAACUAGCUGUUGGGGCCUUCGGGCCUUGGUAGCGCAGCUAACGCGUGAAGUUGACCGCCUGGGGAGUACGGUCGCAAGAUUAAAACUCAAAGGAAUUGACGGGGACCCGCACAAGCGGUGGAUGAUGUGGAUUAAUUCGAUGCAACGCGAAAAACCUUACCUACCCUUGACAUGUCUGGAAUCCCGA